rnacentral:rRNA from 1 species
UGAGGAAUAUUGGUCAAUGGGCGAGAGUCUGAACCAGCCAAGUCGCGUGAAGGAUGAAGGUUCUAUGGAUUGUAAACUUCUUUUAUGGGGGAAUAAAGUGCGGGAUGUAUCCCGUUUUGUAUGUACCUCAUGAAUAAGCAUCGGCUAACUCCGUGCCAGCAGCCGCGGUAAUACGGAGGAUGCGAGCGUUAUCCGGAUUUAUUGGGUUUAAAGGGUGCGCAGGCGGCGUGCCAAGUCAGCGGUCAAAGUUCCGGGCUCAACCCGGUGAUGCCGUUGAAACUGGUGUGCUUGAGUGCGUGCGAGGGAGGCGGAAUGCGUUGUGUAGCGGUGAAAUGCAUAGAUAUGACGCAGAACUCCGAUUGCGAAGGCAGCUUUCCAGCACGCCACUGACGCUGAGGCACGAAAGCGUGG